rnacentral:tRNA from 1 species
AAAUAAGAAGUAAAACUUACAUUUAGUUUCGACCUAAAAAUUUGGUAUUAAUAUUACCCUUAUUUA